UGGGGAAUAUUGGACAAUGGGCGCAAGCCUGAUCCAGCCAUGCCGCGUGAGUGAUGAAGGCCCUAGGGUUGUAAAGCUCUUUCACCGGUGAAGAUAAUGACGGUAACCGGAGAAGAAGCCCCGGCUAACUUCGUGCCAGCAGCCGCGGUAAUACGAAGGGGGCUAGCGUUGUUCGGAUUUACUGGGCGUAAAGCGCACGUAGGCGGACUUUUAAGUCAGGGGUGAAAUCCCGGGGCUCAACCCCGGAACUGCCUUUGAUACUGGAAGUCUUGAGUAUGGUAGAGGUGAGUGGAAUUCCGAGUGUAGAGGUGAAAUUCGUAGAUAUUCGGGGGAACACCAGUGGCGAAGGCGGCUCACUGGACCAUUACUGACGCUGAGGUGCGAAAGCGGGGGGAGCAAACAGG
rnacentral:rRNA from 1 species